rnacentral:rRNA from 1 species
GACGAACGCUGGCGGCGUGCCUAAUACAUGCAAGUCGAACGCAGUGGGGACGGGUGAGUAACACGUGGGUAACCUCCCAUCAGAGGGGAUAACACUUGGAAACAGGUGCUAAACCGAUACUGAUGGAUGGACCCGCGGUGCAUUAGCUAGUUGGUGAGGUAACGGCUCACCAAGGCCACGAUGCAUAGCCGGCCGGAGAGGGUGAGCGGCAAAACUGGGACUGAGACACGGCCCAGACUCCUACGGGAGGCAGCAGGAGGGAAUAUUGGGCAAUGGACGAAAGGCUGACCGAGCAAAGCCGCGUGAAUGAAGAAGGUUUUCGGGUCGUAAAACUCUGUUGUUAGAGAAGAGGUAUCUAACCAGAAAGCCAAGGCUAACUACGUGCCAGCCGCCGCGGUAAUAC